rnacentral:rRNA from 1 species
GACGAACGCUGGCGGCGUGCUUAACACAUGCAAGUCGAACGGAAAGGCCCUGCUUUUGUGGGGUGCUCGAGUGGCGAACGGGUGAGUAACACGUGAGUAACCUGCCCUUGACUUUGGGAUAACUUCAGGAAACUGGGGCUAAUACCGGAUAGGAGCUCCUGCUGCAUGGUGGGGGUUGGAAAGUUUCGGCGGUUGGGGAUGGACUCGCGGCUUAUCAGCUUGUUGGUGGGGUAGUGGCUUACCAAGGCUUUGACGGGUAGCCGGCCUGAGAGGGUGACCGGGCAGAAGAGGGCUGAAGAGCGGCAGAGAGAACUACAAGAUGCAGCGGAGGAGAAUAGGGCACAAUAGGCGGGAGAGUGUUAGCGCAACGCGGCGGGCGGGAAGAAGGCGUGGGGGUAGUGGACAGCAAAAGACAAAGAAAAAGCGUGGGUGACGGUAAUAUAGAAGGAAGGAACGGCUAAAUAGAAG